GGGUUGUGAGGUUAAGCGACUAAGCGUACACGGUGGAUGCCCUGGCAGUCAGAGGCGAUGAAGGGCGUGCUAAUCUGCGAUAAGCGCCGGUAAGGUGAUAUGAACCGUUAUAACCGGCGAUACCCGAAUGGGGAAACCCAGUGUGAUUCGUCACACUAUCAUUAACUGAAUCCAUAGGUUAAUGAGGCGAACCGGGGGAACUGAAACAUCUAAGUACCCCGAGGAAAAGAAAUCAACCGAGAUUCCCCCAGUAGCGGCGAGCGAACGGGGAGGAGCCCAGAGCCUGAAUCAGCAUGUGUGUUAGUGGAAGCGUCUGGAAAGGCGCGCGAUACAGGGUGACAGCCCCGUACACAAAAGCGCAUGUGCUGUGAGCUCGAUGAGUAGGGCGGGACACGUGGUAUCCUGUCUGAAUAUGGGGGGACCAUCCUCCAAGGCUAAAUACUCCUGACUGACCGAUAGUGAACCAGUACCGUGAGGGAAAGGCGAAAAGAACCCCGGCGAGGGGAGUGAAAAAGAACCUGAAACCGUGUACGUACAAGCAGUGGGAGCACCCUU
rnacentral:rRNA from 2 species